rnacentral:ncRNA from 2 species
AGAUGUUUUUUGUGAGAGAGUCAAAUGACCGCCGAAGAUGCAAGCCUGACAAUCGUCAGUGUUGGGUGAAACUUUCAGGCAAAAGGAGCAAAAGACGGAC